rnacentral:ncRNA from 1 species
GGGCCGUGAGGACGGAAAGGCUUCCGUCGCCUGAGUGGAAAUCCAGAUAGUUGCCGACCUGGCACGGUUC